ensembl:snRNA Gm22654 U6 spliceosomal RNA
GUGCUGGCUUUUGCAGCACAAAUACUAAAUUACAAUGAUACAGAGAAAUUAGGAAAGUUCCUGCACAAGGAUGACAUGCAAAUUCCUGAAGAAAAUGCAAUCAAC